rnacentral:rRNA from 1 species
GUCGAACGAGAAAGCAGGAGCAAUCUUGUGAGUAAAGUGGCGACCGGGUGAGUAACACGUGACUAACCUGCCCUUGAGUGGGGGAUAACCUCGGGAAACCGGGGCUAAUACCGCAUAAUUUCAUGAGGUGAAAGUCCUUAUGAUCAAAGGAGCAAUUCGCUGAAGGAGGGGGUCGCGGCUGAUUAGCUAGUUGGUGAGGUAACGGCCCACCAAGGCAAUGAUCAGUAGCCGGCCUGAGAGGGCGCACGGCCACACUGGAACUGAAACACGGUCCAGACUCCUACGGGAGGCAGCAGUGGGGAAUUUUGCGCAAUGGGGGAAACCCUGACGCAGCAACGCCGCGUGGAGGAUGAAGUCCCUUGGGAUGUAAACUCCUUUCGAUCGGGACGAUUAUGACGGUACCGGAAGAAGAAGCACCGGCUAACUCUGUGCCAGCAGCCGCGGUAAUACAGAGGGUGCAAGCGUUGUUCGGAAUUAUUGGGCGUAAAGGGCGUGUAGGCGGUGCGGUAAGUUUGUGGUGAAAUCUCCGGGCUCAACUCGGAAAUUGCCGCGAAGACUGCCGUGCUUGAGUAUGGGAGAGGUGAGUGGAAUUCCCGGUGUAGCGGUGAAAUGCGUAGAUAUCGGGAGGAA